AUUGAACGCUGGCGGCAGGCCUAACACAUGCAAGUCGAGCGAGCGGCGGACGGGUGAGUAAUGUCUGGGAAACUGCCUGAUGGAGGGGGGUAACGACUGGAAACGGUAGCUAAUACCGCAUACCAUCAGAUGUGCCCAGAAGGGAUUUGCUAGUAGGUGGGGGAACGGCUCACCUGGGCGACGAUCCCUAGCUGGUCUGAGAGGAUGACCAGCCACACUGGAACGGAGACACGGUCCAGACUCCUACGGGAGUCAGCAGUGGGGAAUAUUGCACAAUGGGCGCAAGCCUGAUGCAGCCAUGCCGCGUGUGUGAAGAAGGCCUUCGGGUUUUAAAGCACUUUCAGCGGGGAGGCGUUACCCGCAGAAGAAGCACCGGCUAACUCCGUGCCAGCAGCCGCGGUAAUUC
rnacentral:rRNA from 1 species